rnacentral:rRNA from 1 species
UACGAAGGGGGCUAGCGUUGUUCGGAAUUACUGGGCGUAAAGGGCGCGUAGGCGGCGUGUCAAGUCAGGCGUGAAAGCCCCGGGCUCAACCUGGGAACCGCGCUUGAGACUGGCAUGCUCGAGUUCGGGAGAGGAUGGUGGAAUUCCCAGUGUAGAGGUGAAAUUCGUAGAUAUUGGGAAGAACACCAGUGGCGAAGGCGGCUAACUGGUCCGGUACUGACGCUGAGGUGCGAAAGCGUGGGGAGCAAACAGG